UACGUAGGGCGCGAGCGUUGUCCGGAUUUAUUGGGCGUAAAGAGCUCGUAGGCGGCUUGUCGCGUCGGCUGUGAAAACCCGUGGCUCAACUGUGGGCGGGCAGCUGAUACGGGCAGGCUGGAGUUCGGUAGGGGAGACUGGAAUUCCUGGUGUAGCGGUGAAAUGCGCAGAUAUCAGGAGGAACACCGGUGGCGAAGGCGGGUCGCUGGGCCGAUACUGACGCUGAGGAGCGAAAGCGUGGGGAGCGAACAGG
rnacentral:rRNA from 1 species